ACUUGUUCUUUAAAUGGGGACUAGUAUGAAUGGCAUCACGAGGGUUACACUGUCUCCUUUUUUAAAUCAGUGAAACUAAUCUCCCCGUGAAGAAGCGGGGAUGAAACUAUAAGACGAGAAGACCCUAUGGAGCUUUAAACCUCCCUUCAAGUGCCAGAUACCUCCUCUCUAAUUACACUAACUCAAGCACUGUGAAGUCAAGUUUUAGGUUGGGGUGACCGCGGGGCACAAAAAAACCCCCACGUUGAACCAGGCCUCUAAACCUUGAGCAACGGGCUACAACCCUAUGCACAAAAAAAUUUACAUCUAUUGACCCACUAAUUUGAUCAACGAACCAAGUUACCCUAGGGAUAACAGCGCAAUCUACUUCAAGAGCCCCUAUCGACAAGUGG
rnacentral:rRNA from 1 species